rnacentral:tRNA from 1 species
GGGGGUGUAGUUCAGUGGCAGAGCACUUGUCUAGCACAUGUGAGACUCUGGGUUCAAUCCCCAGUAUUGCCA